AAUGGAGAGCAUCGGGUUGUUCUUUCGCGAAUCCGGUCAGGUUCGGAAGAAAGCAGCCGUAACGAUAUGGAAUAAGGUCGAUGUUUCUCCGCCUUA
rnacentral:SRP_RNA from 1 species